UACGUAGGGGGCAAGCGUUGUCCGGAUUUAUUGGGCGUAAAGAGCGUGUAGGCGGCUUUACAGGUCCGUUGUGAAAACUCGAGGCUCAACCUCGAGACGCCGGUGGAAACCGUAAGGCUAGAGUACGGAAGAGGCGAGUGGAAUUCCUGGUGUAGCGGUGGAAUGCGCAGAUAUCAGGAGGAACACCAAUAGCGAAGGCAGCUCGCUGGGACGUUACUGACACUAAGGCGCGAAAGCGUGGGGAGCGAACAGG
rnacentral:rRNA from 1 species